rnacentral:lncRNA from 1 species
AUGUACCCCAUCAUGAUUGUAGUUUUCAGUGUUCACUUUUCACAAAAUGUUGUUUCUGUUUGUGUGUUUGUGUUUGCGUGUGUUCCAGGUCUCAGUCCGGUAGUUCGUCCAGUUCCCGAUCUCGAUCUCGCUCGAGCUCCCAGGGCCGAGGUCGCUCUCGCAGGUCUAAUUCCAGAUCCAGCUCGAGGUCACGCAAGGGCUCUUCGUCAUCGAGGAAGAGGUCUCGCUCUCGAUCCGCCUCCUCCUCACCAGAAAGAGGGCGGAAAAGAAGCCAUUCCGGGUCUUCGUCCGAGAACAGGAAAAAAAGGCGCUCUAGAUCCCAGUCGUCUGAAAGACGUGGUGGCCUGUCGUCCGGAUCUUCCCAUUCUGGUUCAAGUUCAAAAAAGAAAUGAUUUGGAAAGCAAACAUUAUCAUAGGGAUCUCAUCCAUGCAUGUUGAUCAAUACAGAAAAAAAAGACACCGUUACAGGCAUCAGAUUACAGCAGAACUCUCCUCAGUCCAAAAAAAAACAAACAAAAACAGUGAAUCGCUUUUUAAUUGUAUGUGAUCACACCGCCUGCCCAUCCAUAAACAACGGCUUCCCAUCAGCAAUGAAGUUAAGGCUUAGAGACCCAUCGCGUUUCAAGCUAGUAUGGUUCAUAACUUCUCCCUCUUUAACUGGAGGUGAGUCAACACCUAAAAUGAUAAUGACCACCAUCAUGGCAGUGGCAGUAAUAACCACACAAGUCAUCUCAACUUCCUGUAUGGCGAACAACUAAAAUGAGAUUUUUGAUUGGGUGUGUAUUUUUAGACCAUAGUUCUGGGCAGGAACUAGGUUUGUGUUUAAUUUGGAAUGGCCUUAUGUGGAAUUAGAUCACUGUAUUCGUGGCAGGCCAAGUCUUUGAAACUGUCAACCCCAUAUAUAUGGACAUAGUGCAUACCAAGAGGCUGUAGUUUUACUGUCCAACUGUAUGUUUGAGGUUUUAAGGUAAGUAUUUUUUUUUUUCCUUUAUUUUGUGUCCUCCCAUGCCCCCUGUGGUGAAAUGAGAUUCCUGCUGCGAAUGUUAAUUUUUUUGUUUGUUUUUCUCUUCCCUCAUCUCUUGUUUUAUUUUGUGGAGUAAACCCUCUAACCAGUCUUGAGUUUAAAAUCAAAUCUGUUGUGUGGUCAUGAAACCAUACAUAUCAGUUCAGUAGGUCGGUCACCAGACUAUUAAAUUUGUUUUUGUAACUCAGUUCAAGACUUUUCUUGGAGCAUCCCCAGUCUUAAGUCUGAUUCAGCAGUACAUAAUGUAUAGAGAAACAGUUUGUCAUGUCUGAACAUCAUAUCGUUUUUUUUCCUUGAGUGACGGGAAAAGUAGAAUGUGAGAGAUGUUCUGUUUGAUUCAAAAAAGAAAACUGCGUUGUAAUGUGAAUAAAACCUUGUUAAUCACACGGUUGAAAUGUCUU